rnacentral:lncRNA from 1 species
UCUAUUUUAGGGUGGGUCUCAUAGUACCCAGAACACCUUUAGAAGAGGAGUUUUCCUCCAGUCUCCGGAAUGUCACUCUGUACACAGGAAGCAUCGAAACAGCUGGCAAGUCCAGUGGGAUUCAGCAGUACAUCAUUUAAAUAGCACCUUCAGGGAUUUCCCGAGACCUAAUUAAAACUGAUGUUGUCAUCUGGCACGAAUUUGUGCGGUUUGUCUAACUUCUUCAACUGUCAAAUAGAACUCUUUGCUA